rnacentral:misc_RNA from 1 species
UUUCCGUAGGUGAACCUGCGGAAGGAUCAUUGCACACACAAGUUGCAGCCAACCCACGGCGAACGAACACAUUGUCCCCUCGGUGGGUCGUGGCGCCUCGCGGCGUUGCGGCCGGCCAUCUCUCGAGGCCCCGAGCGUCAAAACUCGGGGCGUCGGGGGGUAAUCUUUCACGAUGCAUCCACCCUGAAUGACUGAGUCCCUUAUGAGUGAGAAGUGCGAGUUCCGGCCCCCUUCGCGGGGGGCGGGCGCUGGUAACCUCACGAGUUGAAAUAACCAAAAACAACUCUCAGCAACGGAUAUCUUGGCUCUUGCAUCGAUGAAGAACGCAGU